CGGGCAAGGGCGGCCGGGCGCUGGUCGUCUUCUGAGCGGCCGUCACGGCACCUGUUCGGAGCGGGGUUCCCCGGCC
rnacentral:tRNA from 1 species